rnacentral:misc_RNA from 1 species
GUGAGUCAUCGAAUCUUUGAACGCACAUUGCGCCCCCUGGUAUUCCGGGGGGCACGCCUGUUCGAGCGCCAUUUCGACCCUCAAGCCCUCGGCUUGGUGAUGGGCUCCCGCCGCGUGGCGGGCCCGAAACCCGUAGGGCGCCGCGGCAGCGGGCUCUGAGCGUAGCAAGAGCGCAGCCUCCCUCGCUCCGGAGACCCCUCCACGGCCGCCUGGAGAAACACGCACACCGGCGAAGGCUUUCGUCGCGGAAAAAGGUUGGCCUCGGAUCAGGCGGGGAUACCCGCUGAACUUAAGCAUAUCAAUAAGCGGAGGA